rnacentral:rRNA from 1 species
UACAGGCUUAACACAUGCAAGUCGAGGGGAAACGACAUCGAAAGCUUGCUUUUGAUGGGCGUCGACCGGCGCACGGGUGAGUAACGCGUAUCCAACCUGCCCAUCACUUGGGGAUAACCUUGCGAAAGUAAGACUAAUACCCAAUGACGUCUCUAGAAGACAUCUGAAAGGGAUUAAAGAUUUAUCGGUGAUGGAUGGGGAUGCGUCUGAUUAGCUUGUUGGCGGGGUAACGGCCCACCAAGGCGACGAUCAGUAGGGGUUCUGAGAGGAAGGUCCCCCACAUUGGAACUGAGACACGGUCCAAACUCCUACGGGAGGCAGCAGUGAGGAAUAUUGGUCAAUGGGCGAGAGCCUGAACCAGCCAAGUAGCGUGCAGGAUGACGGCCCUAUGGGUUGUAAACUGCUUUUAUAAGGGAAUAAAGUGAGUCUCGUGAGACUUUUUGCAUGUACCUUAUGAAUAAGGACCGGCUAAUUCCGUGCCAGCAGCCGCGGUAAUACGGAAGGUCCGGGCGUUAUCCGGAUUUAUUGGGUUUAAAGGGAGCGUAGGCCGGAGAUUAAGCGUGUUGUGAAAUGUAGACGCUCAACGUCUGCACUGCAGCGCGAACUGGUUUCCUUGAGUACGCACAAAGUGGGCGGAAUUCGUGGUGUAGCGGUGAAAUGCUUAGAUAUCACGAAGAACUCCGAUUGCGAAGGCAGCUCACUGGAGCGCAACUGACGCUGAAGCUCGAAAGUGCGGGUAUCGAACAGGAUUAGAUACCCUGGUAGUCCGCACGGUAAACGAUGGAUGCCCGCUGUUGGUCUGAAUAGGUCAGCGGCCAAGCGAAAGCAUUAAGCAUCCCACCUGGGGAGUACGCCGGCAACGGUGAAACCCAAAGGAAUUGACGGGGGCCCGCACAAGCGGAGGAACAUGUGGUUUAAUUCGAUGAUACGCGAGGAACCUUACCCGGGCUUGAAUUGCAGAGGAAGGAUUUGGAGACAAUGACGCCCUUCGGGGCCUCUGUGAAGGUGCUGCAUGGUUGUCGUCAGCUCGUGCCGUGAGGUGUCGGCUUAAGUGCCAUAACGAGCGCAACCCCUCUCCUUAGUUGCCAUCAGGUCAAGCUGGGCACUCUGGGGACACUGCCACCGUAAGGUGUGAGGAAGGUGGGGAU